UACGUAGGGUGCGAGCGUUAAUCGGAAUUACUGGGCGUAAAGCGUGCGCAGGCGGUUAUGUAAGACAGAUGUGAAAUCCCCGGGCUCAACCUGGGAACUGCAUUUGUGACUGCAUGGCUAGAGUACGGUAGAGGGGGAUGGAAUUCCGCGUGUAGCAGUGAAAUGCGUAGAUAUGCGGAGGAACACCGAUGGCGAAGGCAAUCCCCUGGACCUGUACUGACGCUCAUGCACGAAAGCGUGGGGAGCAAACAGGAUUAGAUACCCCUGUAGUCCC
rnacentral:rRNA from 1 species